ACGCUCGACACCUACGAGAGGCAGCAGUAGGGAAUAUUGCGCAAUGGGGGAAACCCUGACGCAGCAACGCCGCGUGGAGGAUGACACUUUUCGGAGCGUAAACUCCUUUUCUUAGGGAAGAAUUCUGACGGUACCUAAGGAAUAAGCACCGGCUAACUCCGUGCCAGCAGCCGCGGUAAUCUGAGCGGGCUGGCAAGGC
rnacentral:rRNA from 1 species